rnacentral:tRNA from 2 species
AAAAAGAUAACUUUUAUCUUUGAGAGGGAAAUCAGAGGGGGGUUUUGAUUAGGGCCAUAAAUCUUUUUA